AUGAGCUCGGUGCUGGGGUACUGGCUGUCCCACCGUGGCCUCCUGAGCCCGAGCGGACACGCGUGGGCCCUCUCCGAGGGCUGGCAGGGCCGGAGUCUGGGGCCCUCCUGCGUUCCUGGGCGCCUCCGAGGUUCCCCCCACCUCCCUUGGGCCGGGCCGGGACGAGACGAAGCACAGCCCCAGGAACCCUGUGCCCACCUGGCUGGCCCGUGGAGGCCCCGCCCACGGGCAGGGCAGCAAGCUCCAGAGCCCCCACGGCCGCUGCGCCCCGACCCUGCAGCCUGCUGGCUGGCUGGAGCCACAGAGACGGCAGGUCUCCCCCCAGCCAAACCAAGAGUUGGCAGCACGCUCCCCCAAAAGCCUCCCCUGGCAGUUCCCGGGAGGAUGCAACUGGCUGCCCCUGGCUGGCUCCCCUCCCGCUGGUCGGGCAAUGCAAAGCCAGACCCACUUCUGCCCCCUGGGGUCCUGGCCUCCAGGGCGGGCGCGCUUCGCAGCGGAGCGGGCGGGCGGGCCCCCUUGGGCUUCCGUCUGCCCUUCGCCCGCCCGCGGAGCCUGCUGCAGCCAGCCCUGGCUCUAGGAGGCUGGCCAGCCGGCACUGCCAACUGGCCCCAGGUGCUAGCUAGAGGCCGCGGCAGGCCUCGGAGCACACCUGCGGGCGCCCCCAGGCCGCACAAGCAUUCUCUGAGGCAAGAGGAGCCCCAGGCCUCAUCUCCCUCUGGCUGGCGGGCUCGCCGGCUCGCGCGUGCGCAGUCCAGGACUCCUCACAGGAAAGGCUUGUCUAGGGAGGGGCCGUUCCCGGGGUGGGGGGCGGCUGCUGCUGGGACACACCUACUCCUGACGCCCACUGGGUGGUCCACGCGAGAUGAGCUCGGUGCUGGGGUACAGGCUGUCCCACCGUGGCCUCCUGAGCCCGAGCAGACACGCGUGGGCCCUCUCCGAGGGCCGGCAGGGACGCAGUCUGGGCCCUCCUGCGUUCCUGGGCGCCUCCGAGGUUCCCCCCACCUCCCUUGGAUCCCCGGGUCAUACCAACAUUCUCUGAGGACAGUUAGAGCCCACGGCAGCGUCCUCCUCUGGCUCUCUGGCUCCCUGGCUCAUGCAUGUGCAGACCAGGACUCCCUGUGCUAA
rnacentral:lncRNA from 1 species